GUUUUAAUUUCUUUUUUAAAAUGUUGCACUGUUUUCUUUUUAAAUUCUUUGCACAGUUUCGUUCACUUUGCACUCUAGGUAGGAUUAGUUGUUGUUACAGUUGCACUUGAAAGUUAAGACACGCUUCCUGGCAAAUAUGGUUGUGGUCAGCCAAAGGCGGAUUUGGUUGUCGUGCGUUUUAUGCUCCACAAAGUUACAAAACUGCAUAGAGAAAUACUGUCCGGCAGUAGUACACAGUUUAACUGAAUUAGGAGCCCAAAACGAAGUCAGUUGCUUUGUUAGAGAAAGCGAGAAGCCUAUGCUGAAGAAAGUUGAUAUACAUUGAUUCCUGUGUGAAAACGAAAGUCCAAUUGUGUGGGAUAACAUUUUAUCGAACAAUUCAAUUAAAACAUUUG